UACGGAGGGGGCUAGCGUUAUUCGGAAUUACUGGGCGUAAAGCGCACGUAGGCGGAUCGGAAAGUCAGAGGUGAAAUCCCAGGGCUCAACCUUAGAACUGCCUUUGAAACUCCCAGUCUUGAGGUCGAGAGAGGUGAGUGGAAUUCCGAGUGUAGAGGUGAAAUUCGUAGAUAUUCGGAGGAACACCAGUGGCGAAGGCGGCUCACUGGCUCGAUACUGACGCUGAGGUGCGAAAGCGUGGGGAGCAAACAGG
rnacentral:rRNA from 1 species